AUGGCCGUAAAAAAUCACUUUGCCCUCAUAAGAGUAAACACAGACAGUGGUUAUAUUUGUCCGUCCACUCGGGAUACACAACAACAAGAAUUAAAUAGCAGUCUUGGUCUGGGCGAAUUUGAGACAAGGAAGGAGGGAGCAGUGGCCCUACAGAACACCCAGUGGAGAGAGAGAGAGAGAGAGAGAGAGAGAGAGAGAGAGAGAGAGAGAGAGAGAGAGAGAGAGAGAGCUGAAUGGAAUGUCUCUGAUUCUCAAUGUUCCGUCUCAGAACACAUGAUAACAUGGAACUUCUAUCGUAAGCACAGCUCUGUAACAGGGAAUCACUCACUAACAGGUAAGCAGACAAACAAAUAUUGAUGUAUUGAUUAUCUGGCAGAGUAAUGAUAGUGAUUUUGGGCCGUUUUAAAAGAAGACUGCAAACUUGUUACCCAGUGGUGCGGAACUCUUGGAGUUAGCGUGCCUCGUGUAAGAAUGUUACUGAUAGGGACAGUCCAUGACGUAGCUUAUGGAUUUUACCGUGGACUUACAAAGAGCACGGUUUGCAUAUAGAAGACUUCAUGAAAUACAUGGAAACUGAUCAAGGUUUAUUGAUGAUGUUUCUGAUAUUAUACCGCUGAUCUUUCAAACUGUGGUAAAGACAGACAGCUUUAAAUGCAUUUUCUUCAAUGUAACUUUUGAUCUUAUUAGAAAGUAAUGUUCUUGAACAUCAUGUCGUCAGGAAUGAGUCAGUGUUAGGGAUGACCCCCCCCCCCCCUCGCUGAUACCCUUUUCUCUCUCUACCUUCUCUCAUUACACCCCCCCCCCUCUCUUCCUCCCACUA
rnacentral:lncRNA from 1 species